rnacentral:rRNA from 2 species
ACUUAAAUUGAAGAGUUUGAUCAUGGCUCAGAUUGAACGCUGGCGGCAGGCCUAACACAUGCAAGUCGAGCGGCAGCGGGAAAGUAGCUUG